rnacentral:sRNA from 1 species
AGAAAAAUAUGAGGGUGUGGUUUGCUGGGAACAGCGUCCGCCGCAGGUAUUUUUCACCCAUGUCUUUUGCGCACUUUUUGUUUCCUGGGCGAGUUCGCUCGCCACCAGGACCCCACCAUAAACCUUUUUUUAUGCAGUUGCAAUCAGCGUCAGUAUAAUAAUUCAAUUUAUUAAAACUUUCAACAACGGAUCUCUUGGUUCUGGCAUCGAUGAAGAACGCAGCGAAAUGCGAUACGUAGUGUGAAUUGCAGAAUUCAGUGAAUCAUCGAAUCUUUGAACGCACAUUGCGCCCUUUGGUAUUCCAAAGGGCAUGCCUGUUCGAGCGUCAUUUGUACCCUCAAGCUUUGCUUGGUGUUGGGCGUCUUUUUGUCUCUCCCCUUGUUGGGGGAGACUCGCCUUAAAACGAUUGGCAGCCGACCUACUGGUUUUCGGAGCGCAGCACAAAUUUGCGCCUUCCAAUCCACGGGGCGGCAUCCAGCAAGCCUUUGUUUUCUACAACAAAUCCACAUUUUGACCUCGGAUCAGGUAGGGAUACCCGCUGAACUUAAGCAUAUCAAUAA